rnacentral:rRNA from 1 species
UACGAAGGGGGCUAGCGUUGUUCGGAAUUACUGGGCGUAAAGCGCACGUAGGCGGGUCUGUAGGUCAGGGGUGAAAUCCUGGAGCUCAACUCCAGAACUGCCUUUGAUACUGCGGAUCUCGAGUCCGGGAGAGGUGAGUGGAACUCCGAGUGUAGAGGUGAAAUUCGUAGAUAUUCGGAAGAACACCAGUGGCGAAGGCGGCUCACUGGCCCGGUACUGACGCUGAGGUGCGAAAGCGUGGGGAGCAAACAGG